AACCCGUAAGGUCUUAACUUGUGCUGGAGUUACAAGUACACAGGUUAUGCCCUUUGGGUAGUA
rnacentral:pre_miRNA from 1 species